rnacentral:rRNA from 1 species
AUACGGAGGAUCCGAGCGUUAUCCGGAUUUAUUGGGUUUAAAGGGAGCGUAGGUGGAUUGUUAAGUCAGUUGUGAAAGUUUGCGGCUCAACCGUAAAAUUGCAGUUGAUACUGGGUGUCUUGAGUACAGUAGAGGCAGGCGGAAUUCGUGGUGUAGCGGUGAAAUGCUUAGAUAUCACGAAGAACUCCGAUUGCGAAGGCAGCCUGCUAGACUGUAACUGACGCUGAUGCUCGAAAGUGUGGGUAUCAAACAGGAUUAGAUACCCUGGUAGUCCACACAGUAAACGAUGAAUACUCGCUGUUUGCGAUACGCUGUAAGCGGCCAAGCGAAAGCGUUAAGUAUUCCACCUGGGGAGUACGCCGGCAACGGUGAAACUCAAAGGAAUUGACGGGG